UACGUAGGGGGCAAGCGUUGUCCGGAUUUAUUGGGCGUAAAGAGCGUGUAGGCGGCCACACAGGUCAGCUGUGAAAACUCGAGGCUCAACCUCGAGACGUCGGUUGAAACCGUAUGGCUAGAGUCCGGAAGAGGAGAGUGGAAUUCCCGGUGUAGCGGUGAAAUGCGCAGAUAUCGGGAAGAACACCAGUGGCGAAGGCGGCUCACUGGCCCGAUACUGACGCUGAGGCACGAAAGCGUGAGGAGCAAACAGG
rnacentral:rRNA from 1 species